GAUGAACGCUGGCGGCGUGCCUAAUACAUGCAAGUCGAGCGAACAGACGAGGAGCUUGCUCCUCUGACGUUAGCGGCGGACGGGUGAGUAACACGUGGAUAACCUACCUAUAAGACUGGGAUAACUUCGGGAAACCGGAGCUAAUACCGGAUAAUAUAUUGAACCGCAUGGUUCAAUAGUGAAAGACGGUUUUGCUGUCACUUAUAGAUGGAUCCGCGCCGCAUUAGCUAGUUGGUAAGGUAACGGCUUACCAAGGCAACGAUGCGUAGCCGACCUGAGAGGGUGAUCGGCCACACUGGAACUGAGACACGGUCCAGACUCCUAAGGGAGGCAGCAGUAGGGAAUCUUCCGCAAUGGGCGAAAGCCUGACCGAGCAACGCCGCGUGAGUGAUGAAGGUCUUCGGAUCGUAAAACUCUGUUAUUAGGGAAGAACAAAAGUGUAAGUAAAUAUGCCCGUCUUGACGGUACCUAAUCAGAAAGCCCCGGCUAACUACGUG
rnacentral:rRNA from 1 species